rnacentral:rRNA from 1 species
GAUGAACGCUGGCGGCGUGCCUAAUACAUGCAAGUCGAGCGAACAGAUAAGGAUCUUGCUCCUUUUACGUUAGCGGCGGACGGGUGAGUAACACGUGGAUAACCUACCUAUAAGACUGGGAUAACUUCGGGAACCCGGAUCUAAUACCGGAUAACAUAUUGAACCGCAUGGUUCAAUAGUGAAAGGCGGCUUUGCUGUCACUUAUUGAUGGUUCCUGGCCGUAUUAGCUAGUUGGUAAGGUAACGGCUUACCAAGGCAACGAUACGUAGCAGAACUGAGAGGAUGAUCAGUCACACUGGAACUGAGACACGGUCCAGACUCCUACGGGAGGCAGCAGUAGGGAAUAUUGCGCAAUGGGCGAAAGCCUGACGGAGCAACGCCGCGUGAGUGAUGAAGGUCUUCGGAUCGUAAAACACUGUUAUCAGGGAAGAACAAAUGUGAAAGAAACUGUGGACAUCUUGACGGUACCUAAAGAGAAAGCAACGGCUAACUACGUG